rnacentral:rRNA from 1 species
UACGUAGGGUGCGAGCGUUGUCCGGAUUUAUUGGGCGUAAAGAGCGUGUAGGCGGCCAUACAGGUCAGCUGUGAAAACUCGAGGCUCAACCUCGAGACGUCGGUUGAAACCGUAUGGCUAGAGUCCGGAAGAGGAGAGUGGAAUUCCUGGUGUAGCGGUGAAAUGCGCAGAUAUCAGGAAGAACACCCGUGGCGAAGGCGGUUCUCUGGGACGGUACUGACGCUGAGACGCGAAAGCGUGGGGAGCGAACAGG